rnacentral:rRNA from 1 species
CUCAUAAAGUGCGUCGUAGUCCGGAUUGGAGUCUGCAACUCGACUCCAUGAAGUCGGAAUCGCUAGUAAUCGUGGAUCAGAAUGCCACGGUGAAUACGUUCCCGGGCCUUGUACACACCGCCCGUCACACCAUGGGAGUGGGUUGCAAAAGAAGUAGGUAGCUUAACCUUCGGGAGGGCGCUUACCACUUUGUGAUUCAUGACUGGGGUGAAGUCGUAACAAGGUAACCGUAGGGGAACCUGCGGUUGGAUCACCUCCUU